AACGCACAUUGCGCCCUCUGGUAUUCCGGGGGGCAUGCCUGUUCGAGCGUCAUUACAACCCUCAAGCUCUGCUUGGUAUUGGGCCCGCGACCUCCGGGUCGGCCCCAAAGACAUCGGCGGUGCCCGGCGUAGCCCUGGAGCGUAGUAAAACACCUCGUUCCUCAGGAUGCCCGUGGCUGCCUGCCUCGUACACAUACAUAUACCGGUUGACCUCGGAUCAGGUAGGGAUACCCGCUGAACUUAA
rnacentral:misc_RNA from 1 species